CGUGUAGGCGGAUCUUUAAGUCAGGUGUGAAAUCUUUGGGCUUAACCCAGAGUUUGCAUUUGAUACUGGGGAUCUUGAGUGCAGGAGAGGGCAGUGGAAUUCCUAGUGUAGCGGUGAAAUGCGUAGAUAUUAGGAGGAACACCAGUGGCGAAGGCGACUGCCUGGACUGUAACUGACGCUGAGGCGCGAAAGCGUGGGGAGCAAACA
rnacentral:rRNA from 1 species